rnacentral:misc_RNA from 1 species
GAUGAAGAACGUAGCGAAAUGCGAUAAGUAAUGUGAAUUGCAGAAUUCAGUGAAUCAUCGAGUCUUUGAACGCACAUUGCGCCCCCUGGUAUUCCGGGGGGCAUGCCUGUCCGAGCGUCAUUGCUGCCCUCAAGCACGGCUUGUGUGUUGGGCCGUCGUCCCCCUCCUAGGGGACGGGCCCGAAAGGCAGCGGCGGCACCGCGUCCGGUCCUCGAGCGUAUGGGGCUUCGUCACCCGCUCCGUAGGCCCGGCCGGCGCUUGCCGACGACCAUCACUCUCUUUCUCCAGGUUGACCUCGGAUCAGGUAGGGAUACCCGCUGAACUUAAGCAUAUCAAUAAGCGGAGGA